AGAGAGAGGAACCUGUGAAUUUUACGAAUGAGUAGACUUCUUUUGUCUGUAAUCUGUAUCUAUCUUUAGCCGCCAUUAGAGGAGAAAUUACAAAGUAAUAUAUAGCAUGGCAGUUUCAUUACAAGUGAGCAACAAAGAGGAACAACAAGUGGUGAUCCAAUUUCUCUGGUCAGAGGGUGUCAGAGGGGCAAACAUUCAUUGCAGACUAUCAUCGUAAUGUGGGAGAAGUGCACUAUCGCAUAAAACUGUGUUUUUGUGGAUCGAGAA